AUUUAUAUAGUUUAAAUAAAACAUUACAUUUUCAUUGUAAAAUUAAAAAAAUAAUUUUUUAUAAAUU
rnacentral:tRNA from 1 species